AACGCUAGCUACAGGCUUAACACAUGCAAGUCGCGGGGCAGCAUGAAGGAUGCUUGCAUCCUUUGAUGGCGACCGGCGCACGGGUGAGUAACGCGUAUCCAACCUGCCUGUUACCACGGCACAGCCCGUCGAAAAGCGGAUUAAUGCCGUAUGUGGUCUUGAAAGGGCAUCUGAUCAUGACUAAAAGUUCGGCGGUAACAGAUGGGGAUGCGUCCGAUUAGCUAGACGGCGGGGUAACGGCCCACCGUGGCUACGAUCGGUAGGGGUUCUGAGAGGAAGGUCCCCCACACUGGAACUGAGACACGGUCCAGACUCCUACGGGAGGCAGCAGUGAGGAAUAUUGGUCAAUGGGCGCAAGCCUGAACCAGCCAAGUAGCGUGAGGGAAGACUGCCCUAUGGGUUGUAAACCUCUUUUGUGCGGGGAUAAAGUGAGGGACGCGUCCCUUAUUGCAGGUACCGCACGAAUAAGGACCGGCUAAUUCCGUGCCAGCAGCCGCGGUAAUACGGAAGGUCCGGGCGUUAUCCGGAUUUAUUGGGUUUAAAGGGAGCGCAGGCCGUCCUUUAAGCGUGCUGUGAAAUGCCGCGGCUCAACCGUGGCACUGCAGCGCGAACUGAAGGACUUGAGUACGCACGAGGUAGGCGGAAUUCGUGGUGUAGCGGUGAAAUGCUUAGAUACCACGAAGAACUCCGAUUG
rnacentral:rRNA from 1 species